rnacentral:misc_RNA from 1 species
CAAAGAAACUCGCGGAUCGCCGGUGUGAUCGCUUCCUGCUUACCCCCGCAUCACACGCACAUCACCACCGCCACACGCGCGCUCACCCACGCCCUUAUUAGAAGGGCCGCCGCCUCAUCCCUUCUCUCUCUCUCCCUGUACCUCCCUGUGCAUCCCUCCUACCUUUCGCUCAACCUCCUCCUCACUGGCUCAGAGACAGCACGGCGCCACCUUCACCAUGUCCCUCGCACUCCUCCCCAUGAUCCUGCGCAAGGACGACUCGCUCGUCCUUGCUGUGUACAACGAGAAGGCGGCGAGUCUUACGGAGCUCAACGGCGAGGCGAACCGCUACACCGGCGACUACCGUGAGUGUGAGGUUGCCUUCAACCCGGCGCGGCCCACCUGCUUCGCCCACGCGACAACCACCACGCUGACGUACACGGAGGUGAUCGAGGACACCGCCGCGGCCGAGGACGACGCGUGCCGGUUCAGCUUUAAGACGCUCUUCACCGUCUCCAUGCCCCACGUCGCGGUGAGCCUGGCCUUCUCGCCGAAGGGCACGUACCUCGUCACGUACGCGAUGAUGGAUCAGAAGCGUACCCCCGACGGCAACCUGAGCGUCUUUGAGACCGCCAAAGGCAGGCUGCUUCGUCGCGGCAUGCAGGCCCGCUGGCCGGCCAUGAUCUGGACGGCAGACGAGGCAUACGUGGUACGGCCGGUGCAGGGUUGCAUGCAUGCCAUGAACGGCGACCUCUCCUCCACGGCGUCGUCCUCGGUGCUGUUGGAAGGCACCAACGAGGACAACAGCGAGCAGCAGUCGGAUGCCGAUCAUGAUGGUGCAGCUGCCGUCAACGGGACACUGAGCAAGGUGGACCUGAUGCUGGCCCAGGACAAGGAGAUCGAGUACGCGACAGCGCCAGCUGAGGGCCGCCCGAUGCUUGCACUCUUCAAGCCAUUCUACAAGCAGCGCCAGGCCACGUUCUGUGUCUAUCGCCUUCCGCAGCUCCGUGAAGGCCCGCUGUACCAGGUGAACUUCGGCCGCGCCGAGGCAGCCAGCCUCUUCUGGAGCCCGUCCGGCAACUACGUGGCGCUCCUCGUAAAGUCCGAGCGGGACCCGAGCGGGAAGAGCUACUACGGCACCGUGCAGCUGCACAUCAUCGACGUCAUGAACCGCAGCAUCACGGACGUCAAGCUGAAGGGUGAGGGCGAGACAGUGCACGACUGCCAGUGGUCGCCCACAUUGGAUGAGCUGCUGGUCAUUCACGGCAAGAUGCCACGCAACAAGUGCACUCUGUUUAACAAGAACGGUGUGGCGCAGAUGACCUUCGGAGACGCGCCGCGUAACAUGGCCGCGUGGGCUCCCAACGGUGCUCAGUUCGUCCUUGGCGGCAGCGGCAACCUCGCUGGUGACUACCAGUUCUACGUCCGUCCUCAGAUGGCGCAGGUGGCAGGCGCCGGUGCUGGUUCCAACGCCACCGUUCCUGUAGCUUCGUCGGCAGCUUGCACCGGCGAGUUCAACGAGAAGUGCAGCUUUCAGAACUGGGCCCCCGACAGCUACAACUUUCUAUGCUCCACCGUCUUCACACGGCUUCGGAUGGACAAUAAGAUCGUCGUGACGAAGCUGAAUGGGGCGCGGGUGCUGACGUGUAAAUAUCCGGUGCUGUACGGGGCGCACUGGGUGGCGAUGCACGCUCCCGACGAGUACCCGGCUCGUGCAGCCUCGCCGCGUGCUGCAGGGGAGGAGAUGCCGAAGCCGCAGGCGUACCGACCACCAGGAGGCACAUCUCGUGCGGCAGCGCUGCUCCGUCGCGACCCGGAGGCCGCUCAGAAGACGAAGCCCACCGGCCCUGUUGGGGCGACGGUCGUGGCGCAGAAGAAGAAGCGACGGCACUAAGCAAGGCUGACGUAAACCAUGUGUGCGACACCGCCAGCGGUGUUUGCACCGUGUAAAGCGAAUCCAUGCAUGCACAGGGUGUGUCUACCCCUGAGCAAGCGACAUCGCAUCGUGAGGAUCGGCGAGCGGUGACUGACCCUGCCUCCCUGCUCGUCUCUUUGCUCGCUCACACGACGGAGCGGAAAGGGGUGGAGGAGGUGGAGAGACAGGCGUGUACUGCUGCGCUUGGGCCGCGCCUCCUCUCCUCCACCGGUCGACCUUCUCUCACGUCGUCCCUCUGUUUCUCUCUUCCGCCUCUCCAUCUUCCGAUGCCUCCAGCUCAGAGGCGGGGCGAGCUGCGAGAGGGGAGGAGGGGGGAGGGGGAGCGGAGCGAUGCGAGGAAGAGCGCGCGAGAGACGUCAACCACGGCCGCAAUCCUACGUAAGACAACGAAGGAAACAUAUAAAGGAUGACAACGGAGACGGAUGGGGGGGUGAGGGGAGGGAGGGGCAGCCUCUGAGAGAUGGUGCGCCUCUCUGUUACCUCGGAGGCCUGCAGACGCGCUCUCUUGCGGCUCUCGCGUAUACGUUUUGUUUGUGUGUGUGUGUGUUUGUGUGUGUGCUGGUGUGAUGCGGCGUCGCUCACACAUCCACGAGCACACCACAUCGCCUUCCUCUUAUCGUUUCCAUCCCCG